rnacentral:rRNA from 1 species
GACGAACGCUGGCGGCGUGCCUAAUACAUGCAAGUCGAACGCAGUGGGGACGGUUUAGUAACACGUGGGUAACCUCCCAUCAGAGGGGAUAACACAUCGAAACAGGCGCUAACCCGAGACUGAUAGAUGGACCCGCGGUGAAUUAGCCAGUUGGUGAGGAAACGGCUCACCAUGGCCACGAUGCCUAGCCGGCCUGAGAGGGUGAUCGGCCACACUGGGACUGAGACACGGCCCAGACUCCUACGGGAGGCAGCAGUAGGGAAUCUUCGGCAAUGGACGAAAGUCUGACCGAGCAACGCCGCGUGAGUGAAGAAGGUUUUCGGAUCGUAAAGCUCUGUUGUUAGAGAAGCGGUAUCUAACCAGAAAGCCACGGCUAACUACGUGCCAGCCGCCGCGGUAAUAC